UGUGACUUGCCAGUUUUGUUGUGCAAUG
rnacentral:piRNA from 1 species